rnacentral:rRNA from 1 species
AACAAACGCUGGCGGCGCGUUUUAAGCAUGCAAGUCGGACGGCAAGAGCUGUAGCAAUAUGGCUCCUAGAGUGGCGAACGGGUGAGUAACACGUAGGUGAUCUGCCCUUGGAUGGGGGAUAGUCCGUGGAAACACGGGGUAAUACCGCAUGAGGCCUUGUGGGUAGAGCCAUGAGGUGAAAGGUGCAAUUGCACCGUCUGGGGAUGAGCCUGCGGUCCAUUAGGUAGUUGGCGGGGUAAGGGCCCACCAAGCCUACGAUGGAUAGCCGGCCUGAGAGGGUGUACGGCCACACUGGAACUGAGACACGGUCCAGACUCCUACGGGAGGUAGCCGCUAAGAAUCUUCCGCAAUGGGGGAAACCCUGACGGAGCGACGCCGCGUGGACGAUGGAGGCCGUAAGGUUGUAAAGUCCUUUUCCUGGUGAAGAAUGACUGUGGGAGUGGAAAGCCCAUGGGAUGACGUUAGCCAGGGAAUAAGCCCCGGCCAAUUACGUGCCAGCCGCCGCGGUAAGAC